rnacentral:rRNA from 1 species
CCUACGGGUGGCAGCAGUGAGGAAUAUUGGUCAAUGGACGGAAGUCUGAACCAGCCAUGCCGCGUGCAGGAUGACGGCUCUAUGAGUUGUAAAUUGCUUUUGUAUGGGAAUAAUAGUUCUUAAGUGUAGGGAUUUGAAUGUAUAGUACGAAUAAGGAUAGGUUAACUCCGUGACAGGAGCCGAGGUGAUACGGAGGAUACGAGCGUUAUCCUGGUUGAUUGGGUUUAAAGGGUGUCUAGGAUGUUUGAUUAGUUAGGGGUCCAAUCUCUGGGCUUAACCCCGGGCCUGCUUCUGAUACUGUGCGACUAGAGAGCGGAUGCAGCAGGCGGAAUGAGUUGUGAAGCGGUGAAAUGCUUAGAUAUUACUCAGAACACCGAUGGCGCAGGCAG